AGGUGGCUCAUUAAGUCACAUGUGAAAUCCCCGGGCUUAACCUGGGAACUGCAUGUGAUACUGGUGGUGCUAGAAUAUGUGAGAGGGAAGUAGAAUUCCAGGUGUAGCGGUGAAAUGCGUAGAGAUCUGGAGGAAUACCGAUGGCGAAGGCAGCUUCCUGGCAUAAUAUUGACACUGAGAUUCGAAAGCGUGGGUAGCAAACAGGAUUAGAUACCCUGGUAGUCCACGCCGUAAACGAUGUCUACUAGCCGUUGGGGUCCUUGAGACUUUAGUGGCGCAGUUAACGCGAUAAGUAGACCGCCUGGGGAGUACGGCCGCAAGGUUAAAACUCAAAUGAAUUGACGGGGGCCCGCACAAGCGGUGGAGCAUGUGGUGUAAUUCGAUGCAACGCGAAGAACCUUACCUGGUCUUGACAUAUUGAGAAUCUUUCAGAGAUGAGAGAGUGCCUUCGGGAAUUCACAUACAGGUGCUGCAUGGCUGUCGUCAGCUCGUGUCGUGAGAUGUUGGGUUAAGUCCCGCAACGAGCGCAACCCUUUUCCUUAUUUGCCAGCGGGUUAAGCCGGGAACUUUAAGGAUACUGCCAGUGACAAACUGGAGGAAGGCGGGGACGACGUCAAGUCAUCAUGGCCCUUACGACCAGGGCUACACACGUGCUACAAUGGUAGGUACAGAGGGUUGCUACACAGCGAUGUGAUGCUAAUCUCAAAAAGCCUAUCGUAGUCCGGAUUGGAGUCUGCAACUCGACUCCAUGAAGUCG
rnacentral:rRNA from 1 species